UUGAAAGACUGUAUUGAACACCAUGGAACCUAUUUUCCAGAAGAUUUUCGAACUGUUUGUGCUGAUGUUGGAUCCCCCAGUUGGACAAACAUUUUUAGAGAAAAUCAUUCAUUUUUCUACAAUAUACGUUCACAUAACGAUUUACUCAGUAAUAGAAUUCCUCUAAAAUGUGCCUCAGUAAAAGUACGACACUCUGAUGGUUUGCAGAUUAUAAAAGAUACACAUUAUGUAGAAUGUAACAUAAGAUUACCAUAUUUCUUAUGCGCAACAGAUUCCCAACAUCUAGUUGUUAAUUUUUCACAGUAUAUAACAUCUACAAUUGCAAACCAGUACACUAUUAAUACAAACAACAGUAUAACAGCGACAAAUGAAAAAGAUGUCAAAAACAAAAGCCAAUCGGGUAAGAUCAUUGGGGGAGUUGUAGGCGGAAUAAUUGUCCUGGUUGGAAUCUGCAUUAUACUGCUUAUUUAUAUAAAAAGG